rnacentral:ncRNA from 1 species
UUUUUUUUUCGGUGAUGCUUUCGACUGUUUAUUAAAAACAUUUCUAUCUGAUGAGAUUUAGAUAGUAUGACCUGCCCAAUGAAAGUAAACAUGAAUGGCCGCAGCUUUAGCUGUGCUAAGGUAGCAUAAUAUAUAGUUUUUUGAUUGGAGACUUGUGAAUGGUUGAACGAAAGGUGUCUAAAAUGACAAUUAUAUCUGAAUUUAGUUUAGUGGUGAGGAACCCAUUAUUUAGAUAUAGGACGGAAAGACCCCAAGAGUUUUACUAUUUGUUUAGUUUUAUUUGGGGUAAAUGUGCGUAAUUCAUUUAUUUUAUGAUCCUAUAGGAUAGAGGAUAAAAUUACCUUGGGGAUAACAGAGUAAAGGGCAGUAAGAGAUCGUAUUGAGCUGUUUGUUACUACCUCGAUGUUGGCUUGUUGUACCUAUUUGGUGUAGAGGCUAAAUUUAGGAAGUCUGUUCGACUAUUAAUUCUUCAUGAGCUGAGUUAAGACCGGUGUAAGCCAGGUUGGUUCUUAUCUAUAUUUGAUUCUGGCUAGUACGA